rnacentral:rRNA from 1 species
CCUACGGGAGGCAGCAGUGAGGAAUAUUGGUCAAUGGGCGGAAGCCUGAACCAGCCAAGUAGCGUGCAGGAUGACGGCCCUACGGGUUGUAAACUGCUUUUAUACGGGAGUAACGCGCCUUACGUAUAGGGCUUUGCAUUUACCGUAUGAAUAAGGACCGGCUAAUUCAGUGCCAGCAGCCGCGGUAAUACGGAAGGUCCGGGCGUUACCCGGAUGUGUUGGGUUUAAAGGGAGCGUAGGCCGUAUGUCAAGCGUGCUGUGAAAUGUCCGGGCUGAACCCGGGCCUUGCCGCGGGAACUGGCGUACUUGAGUCCGUGGAAGGCAGGCGGAAUUCGUGGUGUAGCGGUGAAAUGCUUAGAUA